GGCUCCACAGGGCUCCAUCCUCAGCCUGGUUCUCUUCAGCAUCUUGGCUAGUGACCUGGAUGCAGGACUUGAAGGAGUACCAACCUUCAACCACGAUGGUUCUAGUAAGAAGGGAAAGGAAGAUGUGUCACAUUACCUCAUGCAGAGGCACUUUUCACUAGACUUGGUUGCUCAGAGCUCCAUCCAGCCGGGCCAUAAAUAUUUCCAGGAUGGGGCAUCCACACCCUCUCUGGACGACCUCAUCCAGUGCCUCUCCAUCCUCACAUUUUACUGCAAGAAAAUUGUGAUUGUUACUGCUGCUUACAUGUGGAAAGAUGAAUAGGCCGCCUUGCAGUGAGAGAGUGAUAGCUGAUUUGUAACAUUUUAAUCAAAAAGUCUGCAAAAUGAACCAGGCACCAAAUCUUCACUAGGAUCCCGAGGAGCCACAGCAUGUAAAAAUCCCUGUCUCUUAUGGAGAUCAGAGGCUGUGGAGGUUAAGGCUGCAUCAUCCCUGGUACCCCAAAAGAUAUCUAUCACUCUGACACCCUGAGGUUCAGGAGAGCUUGGUCAGCUCUUCACUCAACAUUUGUAAGCGCUUAGCACUAGCAUUCCUAGUACCAAUUCAAGUAAAUAUACUACUCUUCUAUUAAUAA